rnacentral:rRNA from 1 species
GCGCCAGACUCCUACGGGAGGCAGCAGUGGGGAAUAUUGCACAAUGGGGGAAACCCUGAUGCAGCGACGCCGCGUGAGUGAAGAAGUAUUUCGGUAUGUAAAGCUCUAUCAGCAGGGAAGAAAAUGACGGUACCUGACUAAGAAGCCCCGGCUAACUACGUGCCAGCAGCCGCGGUAAUACGUAGGGGGCAAGCGUUAUCCGGAUUUACUGGGUGUAAAGGGAGCGUAGACGGCCAGACAAGUCUGAAGUGAAAAUCCAGCGCUUAACGUUGGAAGUGCUUUGGAAACUGCCGGGCUAGAGUGCAGGAGGGGCAGGCGGAAUUCCUAGUGUAGCGGUGAAAUGCGUAGAUAUCAGGAGGAACACCGGCGGCGAAGGCGGCCUGCUGGACCGUAACUGACGUUGAGGCUCGAAAGCGUGGGGAGCGAACAGGAUUAGAUACCCGGGUA